AUUUAGUGAGAUCUGUUAGUUGGCUUUGUUCUGUUAAAAACAAUAAUAUCAAUCAGAAAAUAACAUAACCUUUCUUUAAGAUUCACACAUUUCUUUAAAAUCUCAUUUCCUAGAGAUCUUAAUAGAAACUUUACACCACUUGGAAUUAUUUCCUAAGAGUACAUUUUUCACUCAAACUCUUUUCUGGCCACUUAACUUUUCACUUCGUCUAGAUUUUUUUUUUCUAAAAAGAUCAUAAGGUACUUGAGGGGAGAGUCUAUGGAUCUUCUAGUUUAUACUCUCCCCAACCUAUAUCUGUGCAUAAAAAGUGUUUAACAAAAUUCUCUCAAUUGUUUCCAGAAAGAGAAUUUAAGUUGAAGAGGAAAAGAAAAUGAAGUUAUUACAAAAUUGUAUAUUCUACAAUUAUAUUUCAUGUCCUAUGACAAAGGAAAAUGAAGACUGUAGGCAAGAAGGUAAAUCUGUAUUCUAGUUGGUUGAGGUAAAAGCCAUGGUAACUGUGAAAGUAAGUUACUGUUAAUAACCAGAAAGAAGACAAAUUCACAAAUUAUCAUUUUCAUGGAAAAUUAUUAUUGCAACCUGCUCUGGAUUAAACAGUCCUCGAGGCUUAAACAUUCUAUUAUGGCCAACUUUAACUCAUAUAUGAUUAACACUCUUUUUAUUAUCCCACUGAAUUUCAUAAACCCCACGAGGAGGACUCAGAGUGUAAGCAAUCAUAUAGAAGAAUGUAAUGUGAAUCAGAAGAACUUCCUGACUUCAGACUAUAGAUUCUCUGGGUUGAGAAGAAAGGUCAAGUCUAGAUGGCAAAUGAAAAAGAGGAGAACUAACCUUGGUGGGUCACUGAAGAGGGAACUGGUCUUGCCCCACUGGGGAGGAGCAAACUAACAGAAGCACCAUCAUACUCACAAAGGAUACUUUAAUCUAGACUACUGAAGAUGCAGUGUUAUCAGAGGUGUGCAAAAACAAUGGUAGGUUUAAUAACUCAACCCACGUUUAAUUUCUAGCUUUGCCAUUUCAUACAGCUGUGACUUUGGACAAUACCUUAACCUAUUUGAACUUCAGUUUCUUCAACUGUAAGAAAGGUUUAACACAUCCCAUUGAAUUACUGAGAGAACUGAGUCAGUGUACAUGAAAGAGAUUAGUAAAUGGUAAAAAAACCCAACAGCAAUGCACAAUGUAGGUCAUUUUGUGGUAAAGGAGACUAUGGGGAGAGAUAAAACAGGUGGAGAAGGCACAUGGGGGUGAAAGGUGCUAUUCUGGAGUCUUUGAACAAACAGUUCAACACAAGGACAUCAGGCUUACUGGAAGAAAGUAGUCCAGAAGAGAAAAAUGAGGAAAGGAAUUUUAUGGGCAUUAAAGACAGACCCAGAUAUCCUGACUGGAAGUCUAAUAAUUACAACAUCAAACUCUGUUUAUUUAUGCUUAGUUGUAGAGUCUCUUGCUCAUUUACCUUAGAGAUCUACUUACAAUUAGUAUUAGGUACCUUGCCCUGUACUUAGAAUUCCAGAACAGGGCAAUCACUACUCACACUUUCAAUAUAAGAAAUCAAUGGAAAUUGGGAGGGGCAUGAGGGGAUGGGCAAAAUGGGUGAAGGGGAGAUACAGACUUCCAGUUAUAGAAUGAAUAAGUCAGGGGAAUAAAGGGUACAACACAGAGACUAUAGUCAAUGGUAUUGUAAUAGUGUUGUAGGUUGACAGAUGUGGCUACACUUGUGGUGAGCACAGCAUAAUGUAUAAGCUCAUCAGAUCACUAUGUUGUACAUCUGAAACUAAUGUAAAAUUGUGUGUUAACUACACUUCAAUUUAAAAAAAGAGAGAGAGAGAGAAACCACAGUAGUUGGGGCUUUAGGAACUGAUAGUUAACCUUUCAACUGCUAGAAAUCCUUCUUAGUUAUUGUCCUUACCAUGAAAACCCCUGGAUACUAAUUCAGCUAGUUUUUUUUCUGACAUCUCUGGAAGUUUCACACUUCUGUGCAAAAAUCUUUGUCAGUACUCUUUGAAAACUGGGAAUUAGGAAGUAGGCUUUAAAUUUAGCUUCAGAUGACAUACAAAAAAGUCUGAAAUAGCAGCAAUCUUCCUGAUUUAAUACAGGGUUGGCAUCCUUUAGUUGUGAAAUGAGAUGAAAAUCCCAUUCCCCAGAAUUCUUUUGAAGUAGUGUUUGGUGGGAAUAUUUUGUUAUGCUACUUAGGGUGUGGAUGAUAUCUCAAAAACAUAGCUAGCACAUAAUGGUCUCUAGAAUGUCUUCUCAGGAGUGUAGGCCUGACCAACUAGAGCCUUCUGGGUUUCACAGAAAAUUUUGAUGGGUUUAUGAUUGCGACUUUUGGUGUAGAAACCAACAAGAGGUACAUGUUUUGUAUAAAUAGAGAGGAGACAUAAUUGAAGUGGGAGAGAAAGAGAUACCUUGUAUAAAACUGCAGAGCCAACAAAGGUAGGGCAGUAUUGGAGAAGGAGAAUUAAAGAGAGAUCUCUGGUACUGGGGAGCCAAAGGUGGAUGUCAAAAAACAGAUAUAGUAAGGGGAUUCCCACAAAUGUUUUAUUUUGAAAAAUACCAAAACUUUAGGAAGUUGCAAGAAUAGUAUAAUAAACACUAGUAUACCUCUUACAUAUACAUACACAUGUAUAUGGAAGGACAGAGAACAUACUUUUAUAAAUGCGUGUAUUCACAUUUUAUAUAUAGAUAGGCAGAUAAAAAAGUAGAUACAGAGAGGGGUGCCUGUGCAGGUCAGUUGGUUAAGCGUCUGACUCUUGAUUUCAGCUCAGGUCAUGAUCUCACAGUUGGGGAAUUCCAGCCCCACAUUGCACUUAAUAUGCGGAGCCUGCUUGGGAUUCUCUCUCUCUCUCCCUCUAUCUGUGUCUCUCCAUCCUGUCUCUUCUCUCUCCCUCCCUCCCUCUCUCUCUCUCAAAAAUAAAUAAACUUUAAAAAAGUAGAUACAGAGAGAAAUGUGUGUGUGUGUGUAUUUUUUUCCUGAACCAUGUGAAAGUUGUUUGUAGACAUGAAACUUUACCACUAAAUACUUCAAUAUGUGUCUUCUGAGAACAAGGCCAUUCUCCUAUAUGACUACAAUACAAUUAUCCCACUCAGGAACUUAAACUUGAUACAAUACAAUAUCUAAUAUUUAGUACAUAUUCAAUUUCCCUGAUUGUCCCAAUAAUAUCCUUAUAAAUCUCCAAUGUAAAGGGGAUUUUAAAAUUGUUUGCCAUGUUUGGCAUAAAUGCCUUUUCCAUUUUCCCAACAAAAUCAUCAAAAACAACUACACUUUCAUUAAUAUUUUUUGCAAGUAAUUUCUACAGGGGAACUUGUAGAUGUCCCACGUCCAGAUUGGCAAUGAAUGAAAAUAGAAAUAAUAGCAGCUGCCAGAAGAGAGAUUGGUUGAUACUGAUCACAUUUGAAGCAACUAUUUGGGGGAGAGGAGCUUUGUAGAGACAGUAAGUAAUGGAGACAUUUAAAACCACUUAUUCAGUUCCUUGUAUCCUGCCCCUUUUCUUCCUACCCAUGUUUUAAAUCUGUUCUCUCUUAGUUGUUAGUAUGUGAUAAGUGUUUCCCAGAUCCUACCAUGAUACAUUCAGCUUGCUCUCAUAGAUAUUUUGUAAAAAACAGAUUCUAUUUUUAGAGCAGUUUUAUAUAUACAGAAAAAAAAAAUAAGAAAACAGUACAGAGAGUUCCCAUACAUCCCCUCUCCCUCUACACACAAUUUCCCCUAUUAACAUCUUACAUUAGUAUAGUAUGUUGAUUACAACUGAUGAACCAAUAUUCACAAAUUAUUAUUAAUGACAUCCAUACUUUAUUCAGAUUUCCAUAUUUUUUAACCUAAUGUCCUUUCUGUUCCAAGAUCCCACCUAGGAAUCAGAAUUACAUUUAGUUGUUAUUUCUCCUUAGGCUCCUUAGACUGUGACAGUUUCUCAAACUUUUCUUGUUUUCGAUGUCCUUGACAGUUUUGAACUCAUAGGUCUUUUGAUAAUUUAAUCUCCAUACAUUGCUUGGCAGAGCACCACAACAGAUACUAUUUUGAAUUAAGUAAAAUCUUUGAUAAUUGGUGAAAAUCAAAUCUUGUUUGAAGUAGCUACAUGAUAAAGAUGAUAAAGUUAUUUUAGCGGCCUUGCUUGUAUUAGGUCAUAUUAUGACUACUUAUUGAUUAAAUAUGGGAUAAAAAGUUCACAGCAUUCAUUGGGUGGCAUGGUCUUAUUUGUGUGGAUUGAGUCAAUGGAACCCCAGGCACAAAGAUCAAUUGAGAGAGAACCAUUCAGAAGGUGCCUUUUCCUCUGGGGCCUUGUGUUCUUACAGACUACACAAGGCAGAUGUUUUAUGCUUUUCUCUCGGGGGUAAUUUGGCUUGAGACAUGCUACUAUCCUUUACCAAGCAAGUAUUUCUCUUGUCCUUUUAACUUUUUUUAAUUAAAGUACAAUUUACAAAUAGUGAUAAGCACAGAUCUUAUGUACACAGUUGGAGGUGUUCUGACAAAUGCAUUCACCUGUGUAAUCCACACCUUAUCAAGAGAGAGAAUAUGUUCAUCACCACAGAAAGUUAUCUCAUGCCUUUACCAAGUAAAUGCCUGCCCUUAAUCCCCAGAGGCAACCACUGGUUCAAUUUCUUUCACUAUAGAUUAGGUUUGCUUGUCCUCGGACUUCAUAUAAAUGGGAUCAUAUAUUUUGUACUCUUUUGUGUGUGGGCUUCUUUAGCUUAGCAUAAUGCUUGUGAGAUUCAUUCAUGUUUUGCAUCUAUCAAAAGUUUAUCCCAUUUUAUUGCUGAGUAGUAUUCAUUGUAUUGUAUCAAUAAACCACAAUUUCUUUAUCUACUUUUGUAUUGAUGGGAAUUUGUUUUUUUCUGAUUUUUUGGCUGUUUUGAAUGAAGCUACUGUGAAUAUUCUACUUUAUGUCUUUUAUGUGGACUUCAUGUUUCUCUUGAGUGUGGAAUUUCUGUGUCAUGUAGUUGGAGUAUGUUUAAUGUUAUAAGAAAAUGUCAAACCAUUUCCCAAAGAGUGUGCAACAUUUUACAGUCAGUGUUAAUUAUCUAUUGCUGCAUAACAAUUUAACAGCUUAAAUCAACACACAUUUAUUAUCUCCCAGUUUGGGUCAGGAGACUGGGCAUACCUUAGCUGAUCCUUUGCAAGACUGUAAUCACAGUGUUGACCAAAACUGGGUUCUCCUAUGGAGGCUCAAUUGGGGAAGGAAGAAUUCUGUUGACAGGAUUAACUUCCUUGUGUUGUGUGAUUGAGGACUUCAGCUUCUUGCUGGCUGAGGUGGUUGCCCUCAGCUGCUAGAGGCUGCCAGCAGUUUCUUACCAUAUGGUGUUCUUUAACAUGGGCAGUUUGAGUUGCUUCCUCGAAGCCAGCAAAGGAGCAAGAGAUUCCAGCUAGGUGAGUGCUAUAACCUUAUAAAAUGUAGUCAUGUAAUCAAAUAUAUUCAAUCAUAUACAUCUCAUUACCUUUUCCAUAUUCGAUUACAAGUCCCACUUAUGCUCAUGGGAAGGGAUCACAUAGGGCAUGAAUACUAGGAGAUGGGGAUCAAAGGAGACCACCUUAAGGGUAUGUGUAUCACAUACUCCCGCCAGAAAUGAAUGAGAGUUUUGGUUGCUUCAUAUCUUUGCCAACAUUUGGUGUUGCCACUUGUUUCAUUUAGCCAUUAUAGUUGUUGUAAAGUAUGCCACUAUGGUUUAUUUUUUAGUUUGUUUUGUUUUGUUUUAUUUUUAAUUUAAUUUAAUUUAAUUUUUGUGAGUAUGGUUAACACAAUGUUAAAUUAGUUUCAGGCAUAAAACACAAUGUUUGGCAAGUUUAUACGUUAUGCUAUGCUCACCACAAGUGUAGCUACCAUCUGUCACCAUAAAAAGCUAUUAAAAUAUCACUGACUCUAUUCCCUAUGCUGUGCCUUUUAUUCCCAUUGUGGUUUUAAUUUGUAUUUCUGUAAUGUCUAAUGAUACUAAACAUUUCUUCAUGUGCUUAUUGGCUGAUUGCAUGUCUUCUUUCAGGAAAUGUCUUUACCUGUAUUUGGCCCAUUUAAAAUAUUGUGUUGUUUGUCUUUUUAUUGUUGAGUUGGAGGUUUUCCUUAUAUAUUCUGGAUAAAGAUCCUUUGAUAGAUAUAUGUAUUAAAAUAUUUUCUCUCUG